UAUCCGGUAAUUUUAUCUUGAUUUGUGGACUAGACGAAGGCUAGAUUUUGAUGAAGAAAUCGACAAACUUGAACUGCAGGACUCGUGGCGCUGCUCGCCUCCUCGCCAAUGCGAACGCGUUCUCUGAGGACAACCCGCCCAAGGCUACCAUGGCGAAGCCAC
rnacentral:lncRNA from 1 species